AUAUGGGUAAAAAUGUACAUAUAUAAUUACAUUAGAUGUAUGUUUCAUUAUAAUACUUUGUUAUGAUUGGCUAACUGCACAUCACAUGUUAUUCCUUUAGCAAUUGCAUUACUCAAUAAAACUUUUCAUUCAUGAUAACACGUGGUCCCACAAUAAAGUGCAUAGGUGAAUUAAGUAAAACAAUUAUAAAAUUUGUGUUUUCAUGAUCAUAGCUAAAAAAUGUAAUUAUAAGUAUUGAAUGCUUCUUUUUGUAACUUCAUAGGGUUGUAAAAGCGUUGAACAUGCGCACAUUUUUAGAAUGAAGCAUGUAUGAUUAGCGCGGAAACAGAAUGUACUUCGGUCAAAGCUUUAACACCCCAAUGAAGUUACAAAAAGAAGCCUUCAAUUCUUAAAUAUUGUAGUUUGUCAGUAAUCUCCAAACUUUCUACAACAGCUUGAAACAUCUCCAGCCAGUAGUAUUUGCAUUUUGAAAUAAAUAUUCAUUAUAUAUAUAUAUAUAAUUACUACAAACGAUUAUAAACACAGCAAAAAUUAGAUGCAUUUAACACUGUAAAACAGAAG
rnacentral:lncRNA from 1 species